rnacentral:rRNA from 1 species
GGGCCCGCACAAGCGGUGGAGCAUGUGGUUUAAUUCGAUGAUACGCGAGGAACCUUACCAGGGCUUAAAUGUAGUGGGACAGGUCUAGAGAUAGACCCUUCUUCGGACUCAUUACAAGGUGCUGCAUGGUUGUCGUCAGCUCGUGCCGUGAGGUGUCAGGUUAAGUCCUAUAACGAGCGCAACCCCUAUCGUUAGUUGCCAGCGGGUAAUGCCGGGAACUCUAGCGAAACUGCCGGUGCAAACCGAGAGGAAGGUGGGGAUGACGUCAAAUCAUCACGGCCCUUACAUCCUGGCUACACACGUACUACAAUGCUACGGACAAAGGGCAGCAAGUUCGCGAGGACAAGCA